CACACACACACACACACACACAGAUAAACUUGUGAAACAUGUACAAACACUAAAACACGAAUUUUACAUUUAACACACAGGUUGUGUUUCUGUCAAUAAAAAAAAUGCUUGUGUGUGUUUGUGUGUCCUGAUGGUGCCAUUUCUCAGUCCCCCACUCACUCACACACACACACACACACACACACACUUAACACACUUUUGUAACUGUACACCUGAUGUUGCCGUGGUAACUGACACAGUGGUCAUGUGUUGCUGAAUAAUUCAAAUACACACAGCGCCGGACACAACAAAUUUUCUCUUCAGAAAUGGAGGACAGUGUGUUGUUGGUGUGUGAAGCGCUCGGUGUGUGUGAGGUGGAUGAGGUCACCGCUGAGGAUGUGUGUGUUUUCUACCAAAGAGUAUUUCUACGGCAGACCAACACAGAGCUCAUCAAGAAGAUCAUCUCCUGGGUUACUGGUCGGGAUGGGGGCGUGUCCUGCAGUGCUGGAAAGGUUGCUGAGGUUCUUCUGGAGCUGGAGAGAGAGAAGGAGGCUAUGGAGGAGCUGUACUGGGAUAUCCAGAUGUUACAGUCAGGAGAGGCUGUAUGUAAAAUAUCCAGAACGCCCUGCUGUAUCAUCAGUCAGGUGUGUGUGUGUGUGCGUGAACGUACAUACUUUAUUGUUGUUCUCCUUGUGUGUAAUUUAAAUAUUUUUAUCUUCAGAACGGAGUGUGUGUGUGUGAACAGAAACUUCAACUCAUAUCCAGAAGACUCAACAACAGGUGAUAUUUCACUGUCUGUGUGUGUGUGUGUGUGUGUGUGUUCUUGUUCUUUAGGAUUUUAUCUUUACCAUACACACUAGGUCCUCAUUGAUGUGUGUGUGUUCCUGUUCUUUAGGAUUCAAUUUGGCCAUACAUACUAGGUCCUCAUUAGUGUGUGUGUGUGUGUGUGUAAUCCUGUUCUUUAGGAUUAAUGUCUUGACAUUAAAAGUGAAAGUGAUUAGUUGUCCCAUGUGAUACACCACAGCAAAGUACCCAGUGCACACAGUGAAAUGUGGUCUCUGCAUUUAACAGCAGUGUGAAACUAUGAGUGGGGAUAUAAGUGGGGACGGUACUUCUGCAUAGUGGCACAUCAGGGUUCAAACCGGCAACCUUCCAAUUACGGGUCCCGCUGGACCACCACUGCACCUUGUUAGGACAUACUAGGUCCUCAUUAAUGUGUGUGUGCAGGUUUUUGCUGGCUGGUUUUUGGAAUGUUUUACCCUCAUUACGUCAUGGAAAGCAGGAUGAGAGGAGAAAAUUGUGGACAUCUCCGCCAAGCGUCAGAGAGCCGUCCCUGCUCCUGCAGCAUAAAUAUGACAUCAUCAGAGAGCGGCUGUAUGCGGAGAUGCUGCAGCAUGAGUAUGGUGAGUCCAGGGAUCGGUCUGUGACUCGGCAUCCUUUUCAAUUGUGUAUUUGAUUUUAAUUUAUCAUGAAGAGGAGAUAUAUCUUCAUUAAGAUGUAUUUCAAUGCACAGGAACUAGAAGAACAGAGGAAAUAAACACAUAAACGUUUAAGUGUAAACCA
rnacentral:lncRNA from 1 species